UACGUAGGGCGCAAGCGUUGUCCGGAAUUAUUGGGCGUAAAGAGCUCGUAGGCGGUUUGUCGCGUCUGCUGUGAAAACCUAAGGCUCAACCUUGGGCUUGCAGUGGGUACGGGCAGACUAGAGUGCGGUAGGGGUGACUGGAAUUCCUGGUGUAGCGGUGAAAUGCGCAGACAUCAGGAGGAACACCGAUGGCGAAGGCAGGUCUCUGGGCAUUAACUGACGCUGAGGAGCGAAAGCAUGGGGAGCGAACAGG
rnacentral:rRNA from 1 species